UUGUCGACAAUAAUAUGGCGCCCAAACACGUGGGGCCUCAGAGAAGACUCUGGAUCCGGAAGGAGUAUCCCAAAACCAGAGCUAAGGUACCAGCUGGAGCCCACUGAAGCCUCACCGAGUUUGGGCUUCUCCUCCUGUGGAACUGGAAACCAAAAUCAUGGUAUUUUGAAAACCAGAGGUAUGAAUCUCCCUCGUUUGGCAUCCCACUGGGCCUGGACCUGUUUCACUGCUAAUGUUCUGCUGCCAAAACUAUACAAGCUGCCUGGACUAUUGCAGAAGAGAGACAGAGUCUUGCUCUGUUGCCCAGAAUGGAAUGCAGUAGCACAAUCCUAACUAAUCGUAACCUUGAACUCCUGGGUUCAAGCGAUCCUCCUGCCUCAGCCUCCUCAGUAUAGGACUACAGGCGUGCCCAGGAAAUUUUGCUGCCGUUGGGGAUGAUGCACUUCAGAGGGAAAAUGAAGGCAGAAGUAUGUAGCCCCGUGAAGCACAUCACAAAUAUUGUCAUGUAUAAUCUUAUACUCUUCCUCUGAAAUCACAAUUUCAAAUAUAUUCACUGAAGUCACCAUAAUGACAGAAGAGGAAAUUAGUACUCAUGAGCAACUAAGAGCAAAGCCAAAUGGCUUGCUGCAAACAGAGAGUGAAAUUUCUUAGAAGUUUCAUGCUUUUUCCCUUUUCCUUCCUUUUUUAAGGGUGAAAUGAUGCUAAUUGUGCAUACUACCCCAUGAAAGGUGUGUUUCUUUUAAAUUAAAAUUAAUCUUUAAAAUGAUUCAACUUUGAGUAAAAUAUGACUUUGAUGUCCCUGCACACUUCCACAUACAUUUGGGUGUGUUCUUUAUACAAUUUGAGAACACGUCCUUU
rnacentral:lncRNA from 10 species